rnacentral:rRNA from 1 species
AGUGAACGCUGGCGGUAGGCCUAACACAUGCAAGUCGAACGGCAGCACAGUAAGAGCUUGCUCUUACGGGUGGCGAGUGGCGGACGGGUGCGGAAUACAUCGGAAUCUACUUUUUCGUGGGGGAUAACGUAGGGAAACUUACGCUAAUACCGCAUACGACCUACGGGUGAAAGCAGGGGAUCUUCGGACCUUGCGCGAUUGAAUGAGCCGAUGUCGGAUUAGCUAGUUGGCGGGGUAAAGGCCCACCAAGGCGACGAUCCGUAGCUGGUCUGAGAGGAUGAUCAGCCACACUGGAUCUGAGACACGGUCCAGACUCCUACGGGAGGCAGCAGUGGGGAAUAUUGGACAAUGGGCGCAAGCCUGAUCCAGCCAUACCGCGUGGGUGAAGAAGGCCUUCGGGUUGUAAAGCCCUUUUGUUGGGAAAGAAAAGCAGCAGGUUAAUACCCCGCUGUUCUGACGGUACCCAAAGAAUAAGCACCGGCUAACUUCGUG